rnacentral:misc_RNA from 1 species
AACGCACAUGGCGCUUCCGGGCAACCGGGAGCAUGCUUGUUUCAGUGUCCGUAACACCCCUCAACGGUUGACUCCGUUGGAACAUGGGCUCUAUCCGGGGCGGCCUCGCCCUGGUGGCCUGAAGCUCACUUAUGCAGUGCGCGCGACGUGGGACGCGGCCCUUGACCGCCUGCUCCUCUUUUCAGCCUUCGUGCGGCCUGGUGUGGUGGUUGGUAGCGGGGCGACCCGCAGCAAACACAUCUCCCCAAGCCAAGAGGCGCGGCGCGGGCCUUGGGCCACAUGCCGACCGCGGCGCGGUUGCGCUGAGUGCAAACGCCCCUACCCUCAUAAUUGGACCUGAAAUCAAGUAAGAAGACCCGCUGGACUUAA